AAAACCCUAUAAACAAAAACCUAGCUCGGUCUGAGCACUAACUCACUUUGAACAUCCCUCUCUAUCAGGGUUAAACUAACAAAACAUAUGGCACCAACCUUAUUAGUUAGCAACACUCUGCUGACUAGCCUGUUGAGUUCCUUUCCGCACUCCUAGUGCUCCAAGCCAGCCUUGCCCUGACUGCUUUCCUUUCUGCACUCCCAGUGCUCCAAGCCAG